GCAGAGCUCCAGCUGCUGGGCUUGCCCUAAAACCAACUACUUAGAUUGUAUUUGUUUAGGACCACAUCGUACCUUGUGAGCUCAGCAUAGAACAAGUUUUGUUCUUCAUCUCAGUGAUAAUCACACCAAGUGUUGUUUAGGGUGAUGCAAACUGAGAAUUAUAUUUCAGGAACAGAACACAAAAGAUUCAGUAACUGAGUCAGUUGUAUGAACUAUGCAGAAGAAUGCAUAGUUCAUACAGCUGACUGUCUCCCUGAAAUAGGAGAGGCUUCUCUUACAGGCCAAAUUUAUUCUAGCCUGAGGUGACAGAAAACUAAGUUCUUUCCCUAAAGCAAGUUUCCCCAAAUUCACAUCUAGAUCUUAGUAUCUUUAUUCUUCAACUCCUGCUGCUUCCUAAACAAACACUAGCCAGUGUCACAUCCCUCGCAGCUGCAGCUUUUUACUCCCAACAGAGUCCCUGCUAAAUACUUGAUUGGACUCAGCUGGUUCUGCCUGGGCUGCAGUUUCAGUGUAUGUUCAGACUGGAGAUCCAGAGCAGUUUCUCAUCAGAAGGGGAAAAAGAUAUGUCCCCUUUUACCUUCCAUGAAAUACGUAUCUAGAAGAAGGGGUGUGAGUGAAUGGAACAGAGGAGAAAGGUGUAAGACUAAGGGAACUUUGGAGAUUUGAAAUAAAGGGACAAGUGGGUAGGUAUAUGGAGUAUGAGUGAGGUGAGAAAAAUGAAAGAGGAAAAGGGAGAGAGUGGACCUGAGAGAGAGAGUCAGGGAAAGCUGAAAUGUUGAAAGAAUGAUGAGAGUCAGUACUUCAGUCUGAGAAAAAGAAGGCAGAAAAGAUCCUCCAAAAUACGCAGUCAUCAGAAGGAAUGAAGGAAUAACUUGCAGUGGAGCUGUGGAGACAUGAGAUGAGGUCCAGCUCCUGGACCUGUCAUGUCAGCAGGUUUGCAGCGAAAGGAUUCCAUUGAGAUAUGGAUAUAGAUGAAGACAUUUUUCCAUAAUGACUCAAACAACUGUCCUGACCCAUCUAAAAUUCCUCGUCUCAGUAAGAGGAAAACCAGGAUCUCUGCUGGUGAGACAAGUGGCAAGACCCGGGCAGAGGAGCCUGCCCAGGGCCAGCACCAGGGAUCCAGCUGGAAGGCAGAUAAAGUGGCUGGCCUCCCUGCCAUUUGGGGCCAGGAGGACAUGCUUCAACAGUUUGAACCAGGCCACUGCAAAGAUCACAUCUUCUGGGCCAUAGCUGCCCAGGAUGGCAGAGUGAGGGUACCAGAAAACAUGAUAUCAGUGUUGCCCAAAGGCCAGCUGUGCAACCACGGCCCACUAACAGCUGGCCCAGAGGUGCAGGAAGCUCUGCUGCAGUGCCCAUACCACAGCCCAGGUGGCUGUGUGGUUCCUGUCUGGGUCUGGCAAGCAUGCAGCCAUGGGGCUGCAGGUCCAAGGGGGCAGAUGCUGUUGCAGGUGGCAGCAGGUCACCACCAGGCAGCAGCCUCCGCUGCCAGACUGCUGCAGUGGGUAGAGGGUGCAGGGGCCACUCCAGGUUAGGGCUGCCUCAGCAGUCCAGCUGACACAAGGGGUAGUCCCCAAAUCCCAACUGUCUGUGCCUCAGAAGCUCCCUGAGCUGCUCCCCAGGGCAGUUUCUUAUACUGCUGGGGCCAGCAGAAGCUCCCUCUUCUCCCUGGCUGAAAAUCCGGGAGGAUCUGGGCAGGAUCAGUUUGCCUCAAGUAGCACAGUUUGCCCCACACCGAAGUGCAUGUUCAGGCAUGCGUGCUCAGGCACACAUCUCCAGCACAAAUUUGUGCCACUGCUAUUUGAGCUGCUGCAAGCACAUGUGCCUCUGAUGUGGGGAGACCUGGAUCUGUUUAUCAGUCUAACUACCAAAGGAAAAAUGCAGCAUCAUUUGUGACCUUGUGUGACUUUAAGCAGGGCAUUUUCCCUCUUGCUGCUGCUGCUUCUCUCAUUCUCUGUCCAGACUCUAAGAUAUUUGGGAUGAGGAUUGUCACUGCUAAGCAUACACAUGUUGCCAAGCAUAGUAGGACUUGGUCUCAUCUGGGGUUUCUAGCUGCAGCUGCAUACAAAUAAUAAUAGUUACACAAUUUGUAUUGGUAGGAAGUCUUGUUAAAUAUGCUAUUAUGUAUCUAUUAAAUCAGUAUCUAUGGCAUCUUUUCAUGCCAAACUCUUUUGUAUGCAGUUUCUGCAGUGGAAUCUUGAUUUCCAUCACUGUCAUGUAAACACAUCUGGGAUGGAAAGCAGCAUUUAUUCAAGAUUGCAUGUCUCUAUAAUGCAACAUUUUCAAACGGUAUUUAGUUGAAAAGUGCAAAAGAAACUUAGUCAGGUGGGCAGAAUGCAAUUAACUCAGCACUGCAAAAUUCCAUUUACCCUCUUCCCUCAGGCAAAUCAAAUCUGGCAAAGCAGAAUUAACAGAGCUGGAGUCUGGCCAGCAAUAAGAUUAACACCCUGAUUCUUACUGAGAGUGUCACAGGAUUAUUAACACCUAACCAAAAAAAAAGCACCUAGAUACUCCUUAGGUCUUAUCCAAGUAUUCACCCCCAUCAAACACUGCUUAGCAUUUCAUAUGAUAGAGAAAAAGCUCACAGAACAUGAACUACAGGUCAUGGAGACAUUCAUGACAAAUCAGUUGACAGAGUUUUAAAGCACUAUGUAAAUACCAGCCCUGUUCAUUGAACUGUAACACUAGGUAUAGAUUUUUUUGGAUGUGGCCAUUAGUAACUAUAAUUUUAAAAUUAAAAAGAAGCCAUUUGUAAAUUUUCCAAAUCCUAUAGCAUUUGCAUUUUUUUUUGUGGCAAGUCAUAUGUUUCUUUCAGGUUGCAGUUUGCGCACUUUAGGACAACAUUUGUGUUUCCUUCGGGUAAUGUUGUGAUGAAGAAGCUUGCUAAGUCAAUGGAGGAUCUUGGAGUCCUUAAAUUCUAAGAGCUGAAGCAGUCACUUAUUUUCCUUGCAUUCAGUGUCCCAUCUCUGCGAUAUAUCUAUAAAGUGAGAUAUCAGGAACUGCUAACUGUAGGUUUGUCGUCUGACCUAGUUAAGUGACUGUAAUGCAAGCAGGGACUAAUGAGCUUUGUUCAGAGACCAGAUGUUGACACUGUUGUUAAGCAAAAACAUUGACUUGUUCUCAGGCUGAAAAACGAGGUUGUGAGACACAUUGGUUCAGUUAAUUCCUCUGGCACUGGAUGGCACUGUUGCACUUCAGCAGCACAGUCAUGCAGCUCUUCAUUCUCAAAAGGGUUGGCAGAGGCAGAUAGCUUGGAGAUUUCAGUUAGCGUUUUGUGCAUGCUGCUGUUAUCUUCAAGCUUCCCCCCUUUAUCCCGCUCCCUCCACCCGCACUCUUGUAAACUCUUUGUAAGCCCUCAGGCUGUUUUAUAGAUAAAAUGUGAAAAGAAAAACCACGGCAAUCUCUCCAGUGGUUUUCAUUAUCGCACCUCUCUAACAACUACAGAAUUCGCCUUUCUUUUCAAAUUGGAUUUUACUGAUCUCUGAAAAUAAAGCUGCAGCUUCCAGACUGACAACUGGACUGAUGUGUGUUAACAAUGAGUUAUAACACGUAUUCCACUGAAUGUGAGAUGUUAAAGGAAUAGCACAUCUGCUUGCAAUCUAAACCCCUAACUGCUGGGAGGUGCAGAAUUUGGUGGAGAUGUAACAGGCCAUGGAACCUCAUCUCUAUACAGAAUAACUUAUUAACAUUGC